GACGAACGCUGGCGGCGUGCCUAAUACAUGCAAGUUGAGCGCUGAAGGUUGGUACUUGUACCAACUGGAUGAGCAGCGAACGGGUGAGUAACGCGUGGGGAAUCUGCCUUUGAGCGGGGGACAACAUUUGGAAACGAAUGCUAAUACCGCAUAAAAACUUUAAACACAAGCUUUAAGUUUGAAAGAUGCAAUUGCAUCACUCAAAGAUGAUCCCGCGUUGUAUUAGCUAGUUGGUGAGGUAAAGGCUCACCAAGGCGAUGAUACGUAGCCGACCUGAGAGGGUGAUCGGCCACAUUGGGACUGAGACACGGCCCAAACUCCUACGGGAGGCAGCAGUAGGGAAUCUUCGGCAAUGGACGAAAGUCUGACCGAGCAACGCCGCGUGAGUGAAGAAGGUUUUCGGAUCGUAAAACUCUGUUGGUAGAGAAGAACGUUGGUGAGAGUGGAAAGCUCAUCAAGUGACGGUAACUACCCAGAAAGGGACGGCUAACUACGUG
rnacentral:rRNA from 1 species